UACGUAGGGGCCGAGCGUUGUCCGGAAUUAUUGGGCGUAAAGAGCUCGUAGGCGGUUUGUCGCGUCGACUGUGAAAACCCGAGGCUUAACCUCGGGCCUGCAGUCGAUACGGGCAGACUAGAGUUCGGUAGGGGAGACUGGAAUUCCUGGUGUAGCGGUGAAAUGCGCAGAUAUCGGGAGGAACACCAGUAGCGAAGGCGGCUCGCUGGGCCAUUCCUGACGCUGAGACGCGAAAGCUAGGGGAGCGAACAGG
rnacentral:rRNA from 1 species